rnacentral:rRNA from 1 species
UACGUAGGGGGCAAGCGUUGUCCGGAUUUAUUGGGCGUAAAGCGCGUGUAGGCGGCUUGGUAGGUCCGCUGUGAAAACUCGAGGCUCAACCUCGAGACGUCGGCGGAAACCAUCCAGCUAGAGUCCGGAAGAGGAGAGUGGAAUUCCUGGUGUAGCGGUGAAAUGCGCAGAUAUCAGGAAGAACACCCGUGGCGAAAGCGGCUCUCUGGGACGGUACUGACGCUGAGACGCGAAAGCGUGGGGAGCGAACAGG